GACGAACCGUGCGAACGUUGUUCGGAUUUACUGGGCGUAAAGGGCGCGUAGGCGGCGCAACAAGUCACUUGUGAAAUCUCCGGGCUUAACCCGGAGCGGCCAAGUGAUACUGUCGUGCUAGAGUGCGGAAGGGGCUACUGGAAUUCUCGGUGUAGCGGUGAAAUGCGUAGAUAUCGAGAGGAACACCUGCGGCGAAGGCGGGUAGCUGGGCCGACACUGACGCUGAGGCGCGAAAGCCAGGGGAGCGAACGGG
rnacentral:rRNA from 1 species